GAUGAACGCUGGCGGCGUGCCUAAUACAUGCAAGUCGAGCGAACAGACGAGGAGCUUGCUCCUCUGACGUUAGCGGCGGACGGGUGAGUAACACGUGGAUAACCUACCUAUAAGACUGGGAUAACUUCGGGAAACCGGAGCUAAUACCGGAUAAUAUAUUGAACCGCAUGGUUCAAUAGUGAAAGACGGUUUUGCUGUCACUUAUAGAUGGAUCCGCGCCGCAUUAGCUAGUUGGUAAGGUAACGGCUUACCAAGGCAACGAUGCGUAGCCGACCUGAGAGGGGGACCGGCCACACGGGAACUGAGACACGGUCCAGACUCCUACGGGAGGCAGCAGUAGGGAAUCUUCCGCAAUGGGCGAAAGCCUGACGGAGCAACGCCGCGUGAGUGAUGAAGGUCUUCGGAUCGUAAAACUCUGUUAUUAGGGAAGAACAAAUGUGUAAGUAACUAUGCACGUCUUGACGGUACCUAAUCAGAAAGCCACGGCUAACUACGUG
rnacentral:rRNA from 1 species